rnacentral:rRNA from 1 species
UACGUAGGGUGCAAGCGUUGUCCGGAAUUAUUGGGCGUAAAGAGCUCGUAGGCGGUUUGUCGCGUCUGCUGUGAAAACUCGGGGCUUAACCCCGGGCCUGCAGUGGGUACGGGCAGACUAGAGUGCGGUAGGGGAGACUGGAAUUCCUGGUGUAGCGGUGGAAUGCGCAGAUAUCAGGAGGAACACCGAUGGCGAAGGCAGAUCUCUGGGCCGUAACUGACGCUGAGGAGCGAAAGCGUGGGGAGCGAACGGG